UACGGGGGGUGCAAGCGUUGUCCGGAAUCACUGGGCGUAGAGGGCGCGUAGGUGGCGUCGUAAGUCUGUGGUGAAAGCCCGGAGCUCAACUCCGGGUCUGCCGCGGAUACUGCGAGGCUUGAGUGCUGUAGAGGGGGGUAGAAUGCCGGGUGUAGCGGUGGAAUGCGUAGAGAUCCGGCAGAAGACCGGUGGCGAAGGCGGCCCCCUGGGCAGUAACUGACACUGAGGCGCGACAGCGUGGGGAGCAAACAGG
rnacentral:rRNA from 1 species